GAUGAACGCUGGCGGCGUGCCUAACACAUGCAAGUCGAGCGAUUUACUUCGGUAAAGAGCGGCGGACGGGUGAGUAACGCGUGGGUAACCUGCCCUGUACACACGGAUAACAUACUGAAAGGUAUGCUAAUACGGGAUAACAUAAGAGAGUCGCAUGGCUUUCUUAUCAAAGCUUUUGCGGUACAGGAUGGACCCGCGUCUGAUUAGCUAGUUGGUAAGGUAACGGCUUACCAAGGCGACGAUCAGUAGCCGACCUGAGAGGGUGAUCGGCCACAUUGAAUCUGAGACACGGUCCAAACUCCUACGGGAGGCAGCAGUGGGGAAUAUUGCACAAUGGGCGAAAGCCUGAUGCAGCAACGCCGCGUGAGCGAUGAAGGCCUUCGGGUCGUAAAGCUCUGUCCUCAAGGAAGAUAAUGACGGUACUUGAGGAGGAAGCCCCGGCUAACUACGUGCCAGCAGCCGCCGCCG
rnacentral:rRNA from 1 species